rnacentral:misc_RNA from 1 species
AAAGUCGUAACAAGGUUUCCGUAGGUGAACCUGCGGAAGGAUCAUUACCGAGAGCCCCCUCCCGUGCCGCAAGGUCGGGCGGCGGCCAUUCUCACACCCUUUUUUAUGCGCACCUUUUGUUCUUCCUCGGCGGGGCGACCCGCCGACGGAACACAUCAACCCUUUUGCAUGCAGUAUUACUUGUUCUGAUACCCUAAAUCGUUACAACUUUCAACAAUGGAUCUCUUGGCUCUG